rnacentral:rRNA from 1 species
CAAUAGCGUAUAUUUAAGUUGUUGCAGUUAAAAAGCUCGUAGUUGGAUUUCGGAUGGGAUCUGCCGGCCCGUCUUUGAGAUGUGUACUGGUAGGUCCUAUCUUGUUGUCGGGGACCAGCUCCUGGGCUUCACUGUCCGGGACUGGGAGCCGACGAAGUUACUUUGAGUAAAUUAGAGUGUUCAAAGCAAGCCUACGCUCUGAAUAUAUUAGCAUGGAAUAACACGAUAGGACUCUGGCUUAUCUUGUUGGUCUGUGAGACCAGAGUAAUGAUUAAGAGGGACAGUCGGGGACAUUCGUAUUUCAUUGUCAGAGGUGAAAUUCUUGGAUUUAUGAAAGACGAACUUCUGCGAAAGCAUUUGUCAAGGAUGUUUUCAUUAA